AGAACGAACGCUGGCGGCAGGCCUCAAACAUGCAAGUCUAGGGGGUAGCAAUACCACCGGCGCACGGGUGAGUAACACGUGAAUAAUCUACCUCCGAGUGGGGAAUAACUGAGAGAAAUCUUAGCUAAUACCGCAUAACACUUACGAGUCAAAGCAGCAAUGCGCUUGGAGAGGAGUUCGCGGCCGAUUAGUUAGUUGGCGGGGUAAUGGCCCACCAAGACGAUGAUCGGUAUCCGGCCUGAGAGGGCGCACGGACACACUGGAACUGAAACACGGUCCAGACUCCUACGGGAGGCAGCAGUGGGAAUUUGCGCAAUGGGGGAAACCCUGACGCAGCAACGCCGCGUGGAGGAUGAAUAUCUUGGUAUGUAAACUCCUUUCGAUGGGGAAGAUUAUGACGGUACCCAUAGAAGAAGCCCCGGCUAACUUCGCGCCAGCAGCCGC
rnacentral:rRNA from 1 species